UCCAUCUGUCCCAAGACCAGUUUCCUUUUCUUUGCUCUGUUUUCUCUGAGGAGCCCAUGCUGAGUGGAGACAGAGCCAGGAAUACUAACAGUUGGUGACCAUCCAGGGACACCAGCCACUGUUGUUACCUUCACUCUCACCACCAAAAGCGAUUAAAACAAUAUGCGUACAAUAAAAUAUAAAAGCAUAUUUCACUUCUGGGAAAGGGAAAGUGGAUUCAAGCAUUAAAGGGAGAGCCUGGGUUGCAGCCGCCGGCAGCUGCAGGCUGUUCUCCAAGAAAGAAUGGAGCUAGAGAGCCAGGCACCAGCUCCUGUCUCUGUGGCAUGGAAAGUUGUCCUAAGAAAGGCUGGAAUAACCUGUGGUCUCUGGUCAGCAUCACGUGCCAUUCAGCUAAAUUCUCAGGGCCCAGGACAGCCUUCUGUCACCCACGGGCUAAAGUCAUCAGGAAAGCAAAUAAGGAUCCACAGUUAGAAGAAGAAAAAUGUUCCCACCCACCCCAACCCUUCCGCAC
rnacentral:lncRNA from 1 species